rnacentral:lncRNA from 1 species
GCGGCCGCUGGCGACACUAGGCGCACUGAAGCCCGAGCCGAGCCGAGCCCGAGCCGCCGCCGCCGCCGCCGCUGCUGCGCACCGCUCCCGGGCUCCCUCCCAGCGCGCCGGCCGGGGUGUGGGGGGCGGCGGGCCGGAGGGGCGAGGGCGGGCCAGGGGGCGCACACGGGGGUUGGCGCGGAAGACAGGACCCUCAGCCUCGAGGGAGCCCCUAGGUGACCAGGCAAAAUGGCAGUUCCUUCCAGCUGGUCCUCAGAUGGGCACAUCUAUUAGCCUCUGCUCUUGUAAGAAGUUAGCUGCAGAACCCACAUGUGAAUCCUUGUAGGACUCUGGAGAAGAUCAAAUGGGAGCUUAGAUGUGGAAGCUCUUUGGAAACCAAGAAACACUCUGAAAAUGAAAAGGGAACAGUUUGUGGACUUGCGCUGGCCCUUGGACCACACUUCGAGUGACAUUGUUAUAGAUGACACGGUCUCUUAUAGGAAAAUGCACAGUCUUUCUUAGAUUCUCUACCUCCCUCUUCCAUCUCAUUCCCAACAUAGAUCUGGGUACAUGAGUGGGGUCUUAUUAUAAUCUUGUGACACCCUUGGAUCAUGCACUACCCUCUAAAUAAUCAAUAGUUUCUACUAUAGAGAGGCUCAAUUUAUCUUCUCCCUGGAAUUGGGACCACUGAAAUAUAACUAGAACCCAACUGAUCUUUUGAGAUGUUGUGUGCUUGCCCUUACUGCUACUGCCGUAGUUCUGAACAUUUCCCCAAGCAUCAAAAAGGCCCCAUGGCCUCUUUUCCCCUAGACCUCUGCCAGUCCACCAACACUCUCAGUGGGGAAGUAAGAAGCCUGGUGGAUCCUGCUUCCCACACAAAGGCCAUGAUGAGACAGAUGCUUUCUAAGUCCGAUAUAUCUACCCACUUUCUGCUGUCACCUCUGUACCUCCUGAGUCACAUGGAAUGUGGUGCUGAGCCAAAUGGUCAGUCUUCUAGAAGCAGUGGAAUGUUGGAGGCAGCUUAUACCUUAGCUGAUUCUUAAAUUUUCAGGAAUUUUGUGAGCCAGUUUUUAAACACAGCCAUUGUUGAAAAUUAAACAAUAUAAACUUAUAAUCAAAUAUAUUAAAAAUAAAGAUAAUGCCCUCAACUCA